GAUGAACGCUAGCGGCAGGCCUAACACAUGCAAGUCGAGGGGCAGCACAGGUAGCAAUACUGGGUGGCGACCGGCGGAUGGGUGCGUAACGCGUAUGCAACCUACCAUUGAUUGGGGCAUAGCCCGAAGAAAUUCGGAUUAAUACUCCAUAAUAUUCAUCAAAGGCAUCUUUUAUGAAUUAAAGCUUUUGCGAUCAAUGAUGGGCAUGCGUGACAUUAGUUAGUUGGUGAGGUAACGGCUCACCAAAACGAUGAUGUCUAGGGGUUCUGAGGGGAUUAUCCCCCACACUGGUACUGAGACACGGACCAGACUCCUACGGGAGGCAGCAGUGAGGAAUAUUGGUCAAUGGACGCAAGUCUGAACCAGCCAUGCCGCGUGCAGGAUGACGGCCCUAUGGGUUGUAAACUGCUUUUCCACGGGAGAACCCUCGACGUGUCGAGACUGACGGUACCGUGGGAAUAAGCAUCGGCUAACUCCGUGCC
rnacentral:rRNA from 1 species